rnacentral:lncRNA from 1 species
UAUAUAUAUAAUGUGGUGAUUAUCUGCUAUAUAUCUUUCUUUAUCUCUACAUUAAAAAGGGUGGUGAUAGCUUCAGACUAGACAGACCAUUUAACAGACCAAUCAUGGACUGUUUAUUAACUUUACUCCAAAUAUUCAGUGGUAUGCCAAUGAUCCUGAGAUCCCUGAAUGACUUGCAUUUCUCAUCCACUUGGGUACACAAGCUUCCUGUAACUGCCUGGUCAUACAAAAUAUGGUCAUUAGAUCUUGGCAAGCCCCUCUUCUAGCCAUUGAUAGCUGCUUCCUAGUCCAGCUGUUGACUGGUUGUGACAGAGCUCCCAUACUCCAACUGAGUAUCUCUGCCAGUACAGCCUCCUAGCUGCUAUCAGGGACUUUGGACCACUUGAGACCCAGUCACUGAACUUGACUUGGGUCUCUUAGGACCUCUACCACCGGACCAGGCUGCAGCUCUCUUCUCCCAGGCAGAUAUUGCCCCCUCUGCCUUUUCUGUUCUUUUCCAAGGCAAGUAUUAACACCUUUAACUGACUUGACCUCUAAUUAGUGCCUUUACAUAGGCACUUGUGGCUCUUAGGCCUAGCUCUUUCUUUUACUAAGCAGCCAGCCAACAGGUCUGGAAAUUCUGUUACUGGGAUCCCUGAACAAAACACACAGGACACACAGUUCCCAAUGGAACAAACAAACAAUUCUUUAUAUAGGGCGAGGACUAGCCUUUGGUUACCUGUCCUUAAACAUGUGGUGAAAAGCUUUCAAACUACAGAUAUACAGAACAUUGAAGAAGAAGUGAUUAUCAUAAAUACAUUAACUAUUUAGUACAAGUAACAUCAAAUACAAUAAAAAGCAUCAAUAUAUACAUCUAACUACUUAUUUGGUUGCCCUAAUUUGCAUAUCAGCAUUGUGUAAACGUACACAUUUCAAUCCAGUCAGCAGAGGGCACUGCAGAGGGAGAGAACUGCAGAUAAUAUAUCAAUUGCUACCACCACAAGCACCUUUCAGGGGUCCUUAGGACCAGACCCAUAGUCUGUGGGCCAGAUGCUGGCCUUCAAAACUCUCCAAACGGCCAUAGCAUGGGAGCUUCUAUCGCACUGGUCAUCCUUGUAGAGGUGGUUUUUGGGAGCCUAAAUGUAGAAAUUUAGUAGAACCCCAUGUUGACAAAGGUAUUGUGUUGUGUGUACUAUGACAAUACUUAGUAAGCAAAACACUUUUUAGGGAUUUUGCAUCAUAAUAAAUCAGACCUGUAUGGGUCUCUUUCCAACAUUAUCUGAUGCAGAUGCUAAUGAAUAGUAAGCACAAUAAGAAAAUACUUUAAUAAUCUAUUUAUGAGAUAGUGUCACCUAACGUAAAAGGGUACUGCCACUUACCAGUUUUUUUUUAAUAUGAUGUUUACUUUUCACUAUAUCUAACAAAAAUGUGUUUGUGACGUGUUAAAAAUAAAUAUAAAUGUAGAAAUUCACACCUCUUUAUCCAGCAAUUGGGUGCCUCCAUCUUGGUUUAUUGUUGUUAUAAGCACUGCCAUUUCCUUCUGGCUGUGGGCACAGAGAAAGCAUGGAGAGAAGAUACAUUAACCAAUACAUUAACACAGUGUUUGCCAUGGCUUUGCCUUGUCGGAACUGCAAGGCGUUCUUUAAUGCGGGGCAAACGGGGGCACCACAUUUGGCCCUAGUACUCCUGAGGACCAAGGCAGCUUCCCCUUGAGCCCUGCUACCCUCAACAAUUUAUUUUUAUCUCCCAUGGGCCCACUGGUGCAGCCGUGGGCCCACACACUAAGGAGGCCCCCCGGUGGGCAUGUGUCGGCAGGGGCCCUGUGGGUGCUGCACCCUUGCUUUUAAGCAGUCUAGGAGAAAGUGACAGCUGCGAAUCACUUCCUCCCAGUUGCGAGUCACUUCGUCCCACAGAAAACACGGAUCCACGCGGGAGGGAGGAGGAGAUAGUGAGGAAGGGUGCUGGAGAACCAGACCCAAACUCCCAACAGCUUGCGGCACCACACUGGACCCCAGCGAAACCACCCUCCAGCAAAAGGUAGGAAACUGGAGGUUGGGUUUACAAAUGAAAAUUUUGCUUGUGCGUCAGUCUGUCUGUGUGUGUCAGUAUUUCUGUUUGUGUGUGUGCCAGUAUGUCUGUCAGUGUAUGUGUGUGUGUCAGUAUAUUUGUCAGUGUAUGUGUCUCUGUGUAUGUGUGUCAGUAUGUCUUUCAGUGUAUGUAUCUCUAUGUCUGUCAGUGUAUGUGUCUGUGUGUCAGUAUGUCUGACAGUAUAUGUGUGUGUGUACCUGUAUGUUGUCAGUAUGUGUAUCUGUAGUCAUUGCGUGUAUCUGUGAAUCUGCAUAUGUGUGUAUCAGUGUGCCUGAGUAUCUGCAUGUGUGUCUGGUUGUGUAUCUGUUUGUAUGUAUGUGUAUUGAUGUGUCUGUAUUUGCAUGUGUAUCAGUGUGUGUAUAUGUGUCUUUAUAUCUGCAUUUGUGUCAGUGAGUAUAUUUGUGUAUCUGCAUGUGUUUCAGUGUGUGUGUGUGUGUGUGUGUGUGUAUGUGUGUAUCACAGUGUGUGUGGCAGUGUACGUGUAUAUGUGCAUACACCUCUGCAUUCAAACUUCAACACUACAUACAAACACUCCUGCACUGAAACAUCAACACUACAUAUAAACACACCUCUGUGUUAAACACCAAAAUUAUGUAUAAACACACCCAUGCAUGCUUGCAUUCAAACGCCAACACCACAUAGAAACACACCCCUACAUUCACACAAACAUACUCCACACAAAAAACAUGCUUACAUUCAAACACACAAGAGCAGUGUAUAGUGCUACAUACAUCCAUGCAAGCAGUGGUGUAUCCUGGUUUUGUGCUGCCCUAGGCACACACAGUCAGACACAAACACACACACACAGUCAGACACACACACACACACAGUCACACACACAGUCACACACACAGCCAGACACACACACACAGUCAGACACAAACAGACACACACAGUCAGACACACACACACAGUCAGACACACACACACAGUCAGACACAAACACACACACACACAGUCAGACACAAACACAGUCAGACACAAUCACACACACAGUCAGACACACACACACACACACACAUUAACACUUUUUUUUUUUUUUACCCCCCCGCCUCCUUACCUUUGGGAAUGCGAGGGGGGUUCCCUCUCUCUCCAUGGGGGUCCAGUGGC